GAUGAAUGCUGGCGGCGUGCCUAAUACAUGCAAGUCGAGCGAACAGACGAGGAGCUUGCUCCUCUGACGUUAGCGGCGGACGGGUGAGUAACACGUGGAUAACCUACCUAUAAGACUGGGAUAACUUCGGGAAACCGGAGCUAAUACCGGAUAAUAUAUUGAACCGCAUGGUUCAAUAGUGAAAGACGGUUUUGCUGUCACUUAUAGAUGGAUCCGCGCCGCAUUAGCUAGUUGGUAAGGUAACGGCUUACCAAGGCGACGAUGCGUAGCCGACCUGAGAGGGCGAUCGGCCACACUGGAACUGAGACACGGUCCAGACUCCUACGGGAGGCAGCAGUAGGGAAUCUUCCGCAAUGGGCGAAAGCUUGACGGAGCAACGCCGCGUGAGUGAUGAAGGUCUUCGGAUCGUAAAACUCUGUUAUUAGGGAAGAACAAAUGUGUAAGUAACUAUGCACGUCUUGACGGUACCUAAUCAGAAAGCCACGGCUAACUACGUG
rnacentral:rRNA from 1 species